rnacentral:rRNA from 1 species
UACGUAGGGGGCAAGCGUUGUCCGGAAUCAUUGGGCGUAAAGAGCGUGUAGGCGGCCAGAUAAGUCCGCUGUGAAAUCUCGAGGCUCAACUUCGAGCUGUCGGUGGAAACUGUCUGGCUAGAGUCCGGAAGAGGAGAAUGGAAUUCCUGGUGUAGCGGUGGAAUGCGCAGAUAUCAGGAAGAACACCCGUGGCGAAGGCGGUUCUCUGGGACGGUACUGACGCUGAGACGCGAAAGCGUGGGGAGCGAACAGG